rnacentral:rRNA from 1 species
UCGGGAAACCGGGAAGUUAAAACCUAGAUGAAACUAAUCAAAUACACAUGAUUAAGAAAGUUAAAACUACCGGUGGUAAAAGAUGGACUCGCGUCCCAUUAGCUAGUUGGUGAAGGUAAGGCCCACCAAGGCAACGAUGGGUAGCCGGCCUGAGAGGGUGAACGGCCACAUUGGAACUGAGAAACGGUCCAAACUCCUACGGGAGGCAGCAGUC